rfam:Oryza barthii chromosome 1, whole genome shotgun sequence.
CAGUGUGAUGCCGAAGAGCUAACAACUUUUAUUUUGAAUGGAUUAGAUGAUGAUUAUGAUCUGUAGUUUCUGCUCUAGCAGCCAAAUCUGAACCCAUUACCUUGUCAGAAACAUAUGCACAAUUGUUGAACUUUGAAA